AGGUGACCUAGACCCAGGAAGACAAACAAGCUGCCAAAAUGAGCCCUUUCUGUCCCAUGUAGUGGGGAGUGGGCCCCACAGAAAAGGUGUCUGUCACUAGAAUGUGGCAUGUGAUGGAUGGAGCCAAAGGUUUUCUGAAGGUCAGCUCUGAAGGAUGUGCACAAAGAGGCAUGCUAGGAAGGAGCCCGAAGAGGAAAACAUUCUGUAAACAGCUGAGAAAGUUGAAUCAGGGCCACAGGCCCAGCCUUCAAGAAACAGAAAAGCAGAGAAACUCCUUGAGAGGAGAGCAUGCUGGACAGUAAUGUCCUGUGAGAUUAGCCUUGGGAUUUCGAAGGUUGAAAAGUUUCUGUACCUCAGUCAGAUUUUAAAUGCCUCUUAGAUCACCACUUAACAGAGAUGAUUACAGAGGAAAGAUGCGAAUGUAAGCAGAAGAGGUCUUCCUUGCCUCAUCAGUUCAAUCCUCCUGCAAUUAUGACUCCAUCAGAUGGGCAAGACAAAAACACUCCAUAACAACGUCGAUGCUCUGCCACCCCUGUGCUCUCCUCUGGCUCCCUGCCCUUCCUCUGAAGCCGCUCUUCCAUGUUUCUUUCCUGCUUCCUCCAUGACUUCAUCCUGAGCCUGAAGCUAUUAUGACAGCCUUGUGGCCAAGAUGGAACAACUCCAGAAAACAAACUUUGUGAAAGUUCUAAGGAGCCAUCACCAAACUGUUUGGAUCCUAAAUGUCAGAAAGACUUGAAUCGUUACUGAAAAAGCUUAGCUUUUGACCUGGGAUUGAUGAUGUCUUGACGUAGGAGGAAUAUUGAAAGGGCACUGAAGUUCUAGUAGAGAGGUUGAAAUGUUCAAGUUUUCAGUGCUUUCCAGACUCCUACAUUUGUCAUUCUUUGCCUUAUUAGUAUGAAUUUUAGUUCUUUUACAGUUUCAUUUAGUACAGAAAUGAUGACAUGAUAAUAGUUAAAAUUAUUUGUUCAUGAUAGGAAUUCAAUGACAUUGCCAUUAGAUGAGUCGAUGUUACUCUGGAUAAAACUAAACGAAGUUGCAAAAUAACUUAAGAGUUUGUUGCUUUUCUAGUUGAAACUAAAUAUCCAACAUGAAUCAAUGUAAGGGAGAUGCCCGAGGGGACCAUUACAUUAUGGCAGAGAAGACAUGGCAUGGCAGCAAGUGGAGAAGACAUGGUGAUGGGAAUAGGAGUCCAGAUGUUCACAUGCAUCUGUAUUCAGGAAAUGGAGAGUGAAUUCAAAGUGGGGUCAGAGUAUUAAGCCUCAAGACAUGUCCCUAGGGACCCACUUCUGCUAGCAAGGUUCUACUUCCUAAAGGCUCCAUAACCUUCCCAGUAGCAUAGCCAGCUGGAGAACAAAUGUUCAAAUGCAUGAACAUGUGGGGGACAUUUCACAUUCAAACCAAAAUAAUUAUUUUUUUUUCCUAUAAAAACCAUGUAACCAUUCUAGAUUGCAAAAAUAAAUGAGGGUGGAGUAUCUGCUCUUACUGGGGGAGUUGGAUUAUGGCU